CCAGGUAGCAUUCCUCGUGACAUCGGACCGCACGGCACGAGACCGGAACGGAACCGAACGUCGUUCGAAAUAAGCAUUUUAAGAUUCUUGCGGACAUAUAGGAGCCCUUCGACCCCGUGUCCUUCGCGCUUUCCGAAUCCCUCAGCCCGAACCUACACUCAUCGACCACGGCAAUAGCGCAUUAAGCGAGGACGACGGGUGUCGUUUCAUGUUUCACCCUCGACCGCGCCGAGAAACGGGCAGCCUUAGGCGAACGAUCAAAGAUUGCCGACCGAAUUCCAUUCGCUAGGUACGCAACACAGGAAACCGAACGAGCGGCCAAUUAUAAAUUGUGCCGAGAAAUGAAGAGGAAAGCACGGUAGGACGUCGCCGCACUAGGCCGGGAUCCAACC
rnacentral:misc_RNA from 1 species